GGAAGAGCUGCAUUCGUAGGUGUGGAGACAAGAAAAGAGCUUUGUGACGAGUCAGAAGCUGGUCAUGGGACGAAAAUGAGGGCAUCUCCUAGGGCACAGGUCUUUGGAGCCAAGAGAGCGCCCACUUUCAUUCUUAGAGGCAGCUUGACACCCGAUCAGCAUUUGCCUGCCGCUCUUCCUGUCCUUCCUGGAGUGCAGUUAUUCCUGCUCGGAAAGGAGCAGGAGCAAACUAGAGUCACCUUGGAAGACAGAGUCUUGCUCUGUGCCCAGGAUAGAGUGCAGUGGUGCGAUAUCGUCUCGCUGCAACCUCUGCCUCCCAGGUUCAAGCGAUUCCCCCGCCUCAGCCCCCGGAGUAGCUGGCAUUACAGGCCCCUGCCACCAUGCCCAGACGUGGUUUCACCAUGUUGGCCAGGCUGGUCUCAAACUCCUCACCUCAGAUGAUCUGCCCUCCUUGGCCUCCCAAAGUGCUGGGAUUACAGGCGUGAGCCACCGCGCCCAGCCUGGAAACUCAUUUUUAAGAAAAACAAAACAAACAAACAAAAAAAUUAGAUCUGGUGGCAGUGGCCACAAAGGAAGCACAGUUGUCAGAAGGAGAGCUGGGACUUUUCAAAGCGCUUACUGGAACUAAAGAGAAAUGCUGGGCUUUGUUUUGUCUUUCUCAAGAACACGCACUUUUUGGAAGAAGAAACUCCAAAAAAAGCUCCGAGAGUGGUGAAAGACCUCGGAGCAUGAAAUUGCAUUACUGGAAAUGGUCUGGGGCUUUUGUUCCUGAGGCUGGGACCUCGGGAGGGUUGGUUUAGUGACAAACCCAGCCAGUCUGUGGAGGGGCAUGGAGGGGAAGAGGGACAGGAAGGGGCCAUUAGAAUGGCCCUCUGGUUUCCCACCUCCUCAGAAGGACAAAGUCUCAGGGAGCUAGUCAUGGUCAGAUGCUGCUCAAGGGGAAAUGCAGAAGCGCGGGCUCACCCCUCGCCAAAUGCAUCAAAUAGACAAUAGCAGUAGCAGCGGCAGCAGCGGCAAAACAGGCAGAACUGGUUAGAGGCUACAGGCGUGUGAGCCCUGCAGCCCACUCUGAGGUCUUUAAAUACCACUGAAUACCAUAACUGCCUCCAAAAGGGUCUCCUUGCCUGGUUUGCUAAGAGACAAAUCUGUUCUGCUCACAAACCCUCACUUCACUUCAGAACCUUCUAUGGGUCCCUAUUGCCCUUGAGAUUGAGUCAAGCUUCUUAACUAAGUGCUCUACAUGAUCUGACCUCUGUAUAUGGCUUCUUUGACCUUAUCUGUUCGAUUCUUCCCCUUGCACUGUCCGUUCCAGCAAGACAGCCCCCUCUGCUUCCUCCAAGAAAAUCAGCCCUCUCUCAUCCCCCGAUUUUGUACAGGCCAUGACAUCUGCCUGAUGCACAUUUUGCCUUCUCUCUUUGCCCACAGCAUAGUUCAUCCUUCUAAUUUCAGCACAGACAUCACACGCUAACGGUCUCUCCUAUGUGCUUCCAAGUCCCCUGGCUUUUCUCAUUAUAAACAUGUCAUGCUAUGGUGAUUACAAGGCUCCCUCACCAUAACAAGGUUUCUCAACCUUAGCCCCACUGACAUUGGAGACUGCAUCAUUCUUGUUGGGGGGCUGUCCUGGGCAUUGCAAAAUGUUUAUUGGCAUCUCUGGCCUCUACCCACUAGAGGCCAAUAGCAUUUCCCCCACCUUCAGUUGCGACAACCACAGAUGUCUCUAGGCAUUUCUACAUGUCCCCUGAGAGAAAAAAUUGUCCCUCAUUGACAACCACCACACUGGAGAAGGGUCUUAUCACUGCUGUGUCCCCAAUCAGCACAUACUUGUUGGGUAAAUGAAUGAACAAACCUGCACACAUUGGGUCCGUAGAGGACAUUUGUCUCCUUUAGGGACGCUCCAAGUCUUGUUGGACCCACGCAGGACUGUUCUCUGUGUUGAGUGAACAGAGAAUUCAUUGGUGUGACCACUUCAAGGUGUUCCAAGUGGCAAAAGGGGCUCAGCGUGGGCUGGUUCUGCCAGGGUCUGUAGCUGUCAUCAUCUACUUGGGUACAGUGAACCUCACGGCUUAGACCUAUGAUAUCCAAGAGUGGCCACACACCACAUGGCUCCCGAACCCUUGGAAUGUGGCUGGUCAAAACUGAGAUGUGUUGUGAGUGUGUAACACAUAUCAGAUGUGAAGACUUAGCACCAAAAAAACCCCAACUCAUUAAUAAUUUUUAGUAAUGAUUGCAUGUUGAAAUGGUAAUAUUGAACACAUAUUAGCUUAAAUAAAAUAUAUUAU